AGGCGGUUUGUCGCGUCUGCUGUGAAAGCCCGGGGCUUAACCCCGGGUGUGCAGUGGGUACGGGCAGACUUGAGUGCAGUAGGGGAGACUGGAACUCCUGGUGUAGCGGUGAAAUGCGCAGAUAUCAGGAAGAACACCGAUGGCGAAGGCAGGUCUCUGGGCUGUUACUGACGCUGAGGAGCGAAAGCAUGGGGAGCGAACAGGAUUAGAUACCCUGGUAGUCCAUGCCGUAAACGUUGGGCACUAGGUGUGGGGGACAUUCCACGUUUUCCGCGCCGUAGCUAACGCAUUAAGUGCCCCGCCUGGGGAGUACGGCCGCAAGGCUAAAACUCAAAGGAAUUGACGGGGGCCCGCACAAGCGGCGGAGCAUGCGGACUAAUUCGAUGCAACGCGAAGAACCUUACCAAGGCUUGACAUACACCGGAUCGGCUCAGAGAUGGGUUUUCCUCCUUGUGGGGCUGGUGUACAGGUGGUGCAUGGUUGUCGUCAGCUCGUGUCGUGAGAUGUUGGGUUAAGUCCCGCAACGAGCGCAACCCUCGUUCUAUGUUGCCAGCACGUGAUGGUGGGGACUCAUAGGAGACUGCCGGGGUCAACUCGGAGGAAGGUGGGGAUGACGUCAAAUCAUCAUGCCCCUUAUGUCUUGGGCUUCACGCAUGCUACAAUGGCCAGUACAAUGGGUUGCGAUACCGUGAGGUGGAGCUAAUCCCAAAAAGCUGGUCUCAGUUCGGAUCGUGGUCUGCAACUCGACCACGUGAAGUCGGAGUCGC
rnacentral:rRNA from 1 species